rnacentral:rRNA from 1 species
UACGUAGGGUGCAAGCGUUGUCCGGAAUUAUUGGGCGUAAAGAGCUCGUAGGCGGUUUGUCGCGUCUGCUGUGAAAAUCCAGGGCUUAACCCUGGACCUGCAGUGGGUACGGGCAGACUAGAGUGCGGUAGGGGAGAUCGGAAUUCCUGGUGUAGCGGUGAAAUGCGCAGAUAUCAGGAGGAACACCGGGUGGCGAAGGCGGAUCUCUGGGCCGUAACUGACGCUGAGGAGCGAAAGCAUGGGGAGCGAACAGG